ensembl:misc_RNA Metazoa_SRP Metazoan signal recognition particle RNA
GCUGGGCAUGGUGGUGCAUGCCUGUAGUCCCAGCUAUUUGGGAGGCUGAGGUGGGAGGAUUGCUUGAGCCCAGGAAUUGGAGGCUGCAGUGAGCCAUGAUGGUACCACUGCACUCCAGCCUGGGCAACAGAGUGAGACCCUGUCUCUA